GGGCCAAUCGUAUAGUGGCUUAUUAUGCUGUCUUAGGGCAUUGCCUCCUUCGGGAGGUCGCACUAAGUUGACAGAGGUCCCCGGUUCGAUUCCGGGUUGGCCCC
rnacentral:tRNA from 1 species